UGUUGGUGUAGUGUACUCAGGUGAAUAUGAUAUUUGUGGCGUUACUCUGAGUGUAUAUCCACACCGGGCGAGCUUGAAAAAUAUGCCCGGCCACGGUGGGAUUCGAACCUACGACCUUUGGAAUACCAGCCCAAUGCUCUUCCAACUGAGCUACGCGGUCAGGACGGUUCGAGUAAGUGAUAUUUCGGAACAGAAUCUAGUUCCUUCAAUACCAAUGUAUUCUAG